CCCUGUGCUGCUUUCAGGAGAGCAGCUGGGCUCCCAGCAGUGCCCCAGGGCCAGCUCUGCCUCUGUGUCCCUCUGCCUUCAGCUGACCAGUGGGAUGCACUUGGGAUAUUUCAAUCCAGGUUCCAAUCUGUGCAUUCCCAGCUCAGCAGAGUGCAGUGGUUGAUGCUGAGGCUAAGCAGGGGUCGUGGAGCAGUGCUACAUCUGUGAAUUAUUUGUGUUCUCUAGCGGGGGAUGCAGGGUCAUGGCCACGGAAUGAGAACAUUCUGUCACCCCUGCUUGCUGCAGAAAAACUCACCCAGCUUUGGAAAGAACCAGCUGAUAUUCCCUGCUCAAAGAUUCCCUAACUCAUCCCCAGACUGAAAACAACUCAAAUACUUCUUAGAUUUCACUUAAGAAGUGCUUGAGAGAAGAAAACAAGCCUGGCAAUGAGAUGAAAACAACUUGUCCUCACCAGUGCAGGAGAGAGCAUCAGCACACACAGCACUGCUGGGAGUAAAUCUCAGAAACCAGCCCCAGCUUCUACCUGGAGCCCAGCAAAGUUCUGGCUGUGCAACCCCCAAGGCAAGAGGCAGUUCUAUAGGGCCAGGCUGAAAGAUCCUAUAAUUGCCCAAAAAAAAAAAAAAAAAAAUCAGUUCAAUUGAGAGCAUUACAAGGGUUUCUGUACAAUAGGAAUAUUUCAGCUCCUGGUUUUCAAAGCACUUCCACUUAACUGCUGUUGGAAACGCCUGUCUGAGUGAUUGUGAGCCCAGAAUCACAGCAGUGCCUUGCUUUAAAGGGACGUGGCAGUGCCUGGAAGCAGGAGCUGGUUCCAGCUCGGAGCUGCACAUGCACAGCCAGCCCUUCCUUCCACAGCACUCUGACAGCUCUCCUGUGAAUUUGUAAAGCCUCCUCCCACCAAAAGACAUUCUGUGAGCCCUGCCUCCCUCAAAAUGUUCUUUCUAAGUGAGUUCAUAAGGAUUUUCUUAAAAGCUGGACGAGAAAAGAGCAGAGAGAUGCCAUCCACACACGGCACUGCUCGGCAAGCGUUUACAAGGAAGUACAAUUUACAGUGUGGUCCUGCUGGUGGGGAGGUGCAGGGGAGUUCUGACUGAUUCUCCCUCCCUGCCUGUGGGAUACGAGCCCAAGAGGUUCCUUCCAGCCCCUGUAGCAAGCUGUGCUCAUGCUGCUGCUCUCCUCCUCCCAGAGGAUGCACACUGAGCCUUGGUGCACCCGCCGUCACUACAGAGAAUUAUUCUGGGUGUCACACUUCACUCCAGCUGACCUCGAACAGACAGAAAUAUCUGACCCCAACCUGCUUUCCUCCUCCCCUGUUCCUCCCCAGCAGCUGUCAGAGACAAAGACAAACCACUCUUCUCCUCGUAUUUACAUUCUGCUUCGAGCACCCAGAGUGUUCAGCCCGAUGCAGGAGAUGCACUUCAAAAUAUUUAAACCUUUGUGUGAUGUUGAUCAAGUUCAGGUGAAUCAUUUCACCAGAACUUAUCUAAAUAAAGCAAAGCAAGCAUCAAAGAAAUGAAAACAUCAGGAAGAAUCCAGACAAGUCUGGCAACGCUGUCUCUGAUUUCCAAGGUGAAGGAUCCAACCCUGCAGCAGGCUGGAGCUGGAGCAGAAGUAACAUAUGGACAUCCAACCCAGAUUUCCAAAUUUAGUGUGAAGAUAAGGCCCAGGCAAAGUUGCCUUGAAGCCAGAAGAGCUGGGCAGCUGAGGAACCAUCCCAUCAUUAACAAAGCACUUAAAAGAGAUGAUUUUCUGCCUAAGCCACUUGCAGGACCCUUGCCCCUCCCCAGCUGUGUGUAGUUUUUAACACUGUGGAGUUCUUGCAGGGACAUGGAGCAGGUGGGAUUUGGAAUGGAAUAUGUGGGCCAGACCCUCAGCAAAUGUAAACCAGCCUCACUGUUUGUCCUCACUACAGGGAGGAGUCUAAAUAAAACACAUCUUCACAAAUAAAUAAAAA